AGAGUUUGAUCCUGGCUCAGGACCAACGCUGGCGGCGUGCCUAACACAUGCAAGUCGAACGCCCCUUGCGAAAGCGAGGGAGUGGCGGACGGGUGAGGAACACGUGGCUACCUACCCUUAAGUGAGGAAUACCGGCGAGAAAUCGCCGACAAGACCGCAUAAGCUCUCUCUCGGGAGAGAGGAAAGUCGCAAGACGCUUG
rnacentral:rRNA from 1 species